ensembl:lncRNA
AACUGCUCCAUGUACAGUCCCUAUUACCCAGCAGAAAGUAUUAGAAAAGACUCCUAAAGUCAUUUCUUUUAGUGCUGUUCGACAAACAUACAAACAGCUGAUUUAAAAAAACAAACAUAAACAAAAACCCAUCAGACUCGAUGAUUAUUCAAUUCAUUCGAUGACAAUGCUGUAUAAAAGGGGGUUUUAAAUGGCUCCAGGUCUAGUUUUUGAGUCAAUCCCGAAGGCGCGCUCUGAUUGGUCGAGGCGUAGUCACGUUGCCAGGGAGUCACGCGCUUUCCAGGAACCCGUCAGGAAGAAGAUAAACAAAACAAACCAGAGAGAAAGAAGACAGCGUGGAUUUGUGAUGAAAUUUCAUUUAAGUUCUCGUCCAGACGACUCCUGCCGAAGCGUGAAGCCUUUCUUUGACAACUGUAGAUCCUAGUUACACGUUAACGUUGCUGAAUACGAGGCAGAUGGACGGUUAGGCGUUUUGUGCAUACAGAUUUCCCAUGUCUUUAUAUCUGUGGAUAAAGUUGUGUAUAUAUAUAUAUAUAAAAAAAUACAUUAAAAAUCCACACGAAGGAAGAAAAAUGCUUAAAUGUAGAUUUGCAUCAGGGAUCAGGAAGUCCUACAACCGUUCAAAGCUCGGUCUAAAUGAAUAAGCAACACGAUCAACGUUGUUUUAUUUGUUUUAUUUAUUUAUUUAAAGAUAAAUGCUAGAUAGGUUAAUAUAAACAGCCCGAUUAACCAAGCAGUAUGUGUAGAAGUUGAUGAAAUCAGCUCAAAUAAAUGACUAUCAGUAUCAAUUGAAUGUAUCCUUGUGGAUCGUAGGAAUUAUUUGCUUAUUAUAGGAAGAUUGCUCAUGUUUUUGUUGGAUAUAUAUAAGAAGGAUAAACCCUUGUAUAUUGAGGGUGAGCAGUCUAUUGCAGGCUAGUCUGGGUACACGCCCCCCUACAACACAACGCCAAGUGACAGACGCUUUCCAAAGUUGCUCUUGUGUAUCCAUUUGCCAUGCAAUAAUAAUAGAUAUUUAGAAAAAAUAACUUUGCAUGAUAUGGAUUUAUUUGCAUUGACAUUUCGAUUUUAUUUAUUUAUUUUUUUCGUUGUUUUUUUUUUUUAUUGCGAGAAAUCUGCACGACUGUUCUUUUCCGCGUCACGGAAAAUUGUUUAUUCACCACUGGUAUGUAAACAACUAGGGAGUAGAGUGUUCAUAAUAAACUACGGGGUAAUAAAUUAUUUAUAUAUAUAUGUAUGUAUAUGUGUGUGUGUAAUCCAGUUAUUUACGUAACGUGGGGAAGGCCUUGAGUGUUGUUUGUUGCUCGGCGUUCUCAACCACACUAUAGCUGAAGGGAUAUUUACGGUGUUCUGUGAUUGACGUUCAGUCCAACCGCUCAGCAGUGCGCAGGAGGCGGGGUUAAGCAUCGCGUGCAGCCAAUGAGAGAGCUGGAAAGCGUGGGCGUUGGCGCAGUGCGCUAAAACGUUUGGUUGAGGUUUGUUUUCGAUAGAGGCCCGUGUUGUGGAGUAGGUCAGUCAGACGCGAAGCUUCGGCUUGAUUUAAAGGAGCAGGAACCAGAGUUACUACAGGGUUCCACUUGUAAGCGGGUGUUUCAUGGCUUCGUUUGGUUUCGCAGAGAUGGAUCGAUAGAUAGAUAGAUAGAUAGAUUGAUGAUGAUGAUGAUGAUGAUGAUAAUAGAUGUGGCAGGGUCUGAGGUUUUGUAGGUCAACAUUUCCUCUUGUAAACAUUGCGUGGGCGGCUACAUGCUGUUAGAGGAACAGCAGAGGAGCCACGCUGGGUUUCACACGGAGUUAUUUGCUUAUAAAAUGAGGCUCUUUGUGUAAAAGAAAAAAAAGGGAGAUUUGACAGAUCAGGCUGUAGAGAUCAGGUUGCCUGAGCAAGCAGAGAUUUCCAACACGACUAGCCCAAUCUCCACAAUGCACUGGUAGUUGUAACUGGUGUCAUGUUUACAUUGCACAUCUUUACAAUGUUACUUUACAGUUUUACAUAGUUACUCCUUGUUCCUUACCACCCAAUAAAUUGUUUGAUGGGAAGCGUCGGUCCCUCUACUGUUCCUGAAAAAAGAACACUGGGGGAACACUUUUUUUGUUUUGUUCCCACAGUGCGUUUUGGGCUGUUCUCGGAAAAGUUCUGACAAGCUUGUCAGUGUAAACCAGACAUUACUGCGCAUCCGAUAGACAGAAGGACGGACACAUCUGGACCCCGAGCUGUUCAAGUGAAACCGACCUGCUCGGCACGGCGAAAGUGACAUAGACUACUAUAAUCUGCGACUUUUUGAUAACAUCAAUCUGCAUUAGACGCAGCGAGUCUGAACGUUCAGGGAAGAACAGCGCUGAUUUUUAUCGCAACAUCCCCAUUCUUAAGAUUCUUCAGUUCUUGCUUCCAGAGUGCUUUCUGCAGAGACAUGCCAGCCAGACGGAGUGCAGAACUAGUUGCUUUUAAUGUUUGGAGAUGAUCGAAUCACCAUUGUACGUUUAAAAAACAAACAAACAAACAAACAAACAAAAAGGGCUAUAUAGGCUCUUUAGUUUGUCGAUUACCAGCUGGAAGUGUUUGAAGGACAACUCGGAACGUAGUUGAGACCGAUUUUAUGUAGACAGCAUUGCUAAGACAUUUACCAGAUUUCAUUUGAGUCCAUAGUUUUUAAAAAGCCUUUAAUUUCAUAAAUCGACGUUUCAUAACCUUUUCAACAAACCAGUCGAGUCCAAGUGCUAUGAACUGGAGUCAAAGCAAUUGCUUAGACCCAGUUCUUCAAUCAAACCUGUGGGAAAGAAAAAUGUGGAUUAGAAUUAGGAUACUGCAAUGUGAUGUAAAGUAAAGUAGAUGUGUAUUUACCAAG